CCUACGGGUGGCAGCAGUGGGGAAUAUUGCACAAUGGGGGAAACCCUGAUGCAGCGACGCCGCGUGAGUGAAGAAGUAUUUCGGUACGUAAAGCUCUAUCAGCAGGGAAGAAAAACCGGCCUUAGGGCCGCCAGACGGUACUUGACUAAGAAGCCCCGGCUAACUACGUGCCAGCAGCCGCGGUAAUACGUAGGGGGCAAGCGUUAUCCGGAUUUACUGGGUGUAAAGGGGGCGUAGACGGCAGCGCAAGUCUGGAGUGAAAUGCCGGGGCCCAACCCCGGAACUGCUUUGGAAACUGUGCAGCUGGAGUGCGGGAGAGGUAAGCGGAAUUCGUAGUGUAGCGGUGAAAUGCGUAGAUAUUAGGAGGAACACCGAUGGCGAAGGCAGCUUACUGGACUGUAACUGACGUUGAGGCACGAAAGCGUGGGGAGCGAACAGGAUUAGAUACCCCAGUAGUC
rnacentral:rRNA from 1 species